rnacentral:rRNA from 1 species
AUUGAACGCUGGCGGCAUGCUUUACACAUGCAAGUCGAACGGUAACAGGCCUUCGGGCGCUGACGAGUGGCGAACGGGUGAGUAAUGCAUCGGAACGUGCCCAGUCGUGGGGGAUAACGCAGCGAAAGCUGUGCUAAUACCGCAUACGAUCUGCGGAUGAAAGCGGGGGACCUUCGGGCCUCGCGCGAUUGGAGCGGCCGGUGUCAGAUUAGGUAGUUGGUGGGGUAAAGGCUCACCAAGCCAACGAUCUGUAGCUGGUCUGAGAGGACGACCAGCCACACUGGGACUGAGACACGGCCCAGACUCCUACGGGAGGCAGCAGUGGGGAAUUUUGGACAAUGGGCGCAAGCCUGAUCCAGCAAUGCCGCGUGCAGGAAGAAGGCCUUCGGGUUGUAAACUGCUUUUGUACGGAGCGAAAAGCCCCGGGUUAAUACCCUGGGGUCAUGACGGUACCGUAAGAAUAAGCACUGGCUAACUACGUGCCAGCAGCCGCCGUAAGAC